GACGAACGCUGGCGGCGUGCUUAACACAUGCAAGUCGAACGGAAAGGCCCUGCUUUUGUUGUGUGCUCGAGUGGCGAACGGGUGAGUAACACGUGAGUAACCUGCCCUUGACUUUGGGAUAACUUCAGGAAACUGGGGCUAAUACCGGAUAUGAGCUCCUGCUGCAUGGUGGGGGUUGGAAAGUUUCGGCGGUUGGGGAUGGACUCGCGGCUUAUCAGCUUGUUGGUGGGGUAGUGGCUUACCAAGGCUUUGACGGGUAGCCGGCCUGAGAGGGUGACCGGCCACAUUGGGACUAAGGUACGGCCCAGACUCCUACGGGAGGCAACAGGGGGGAAUAUUGCACAAUGAGCGGAAGCCUGAUGCAGCAACGCCGCGUGCGGGAUAACGGCCUACGGGUUGUAAACCGCUUUCGCCUGUGACGAAGAGUGAGUGACGGUAAUGGGUAAAGAAGCACCGGCUAACUACGUG
rnacentral:rRNA from 1 species